rnacentral:misc_RNA from 1 species
UUACUGUAGGUGAACCUGCGGAAGGAUCAUUAUUGUAUAACCGAGGUGCGAGGGCUGUCGCUGACCCGAAAGGUCGUGCACGCCCGAGUGCCCUCACACACAUCCAUCUCACCCCUAUGUGCACCACCGCGUGGGUCCCCCUUUGGCUUGUUCGGAGGGGGGCUUACGUUUUCACACAAACUUUGUAUGCAGUGUAGAAUGUAUUUUUUGUUUUUGCGAUCACGCAAUCAAUACAACUUUCAACAACGGAUCUCUUGGCUCUC